rnacentral:misc_RNA from 1 species
AACGCACCUUGCGCUCCUUGGUAUUCCGAGGAGCAUGCCUGUUUGAGUGUCAUUAAAUUCUCAACUCCUCCAGCUUUUGUUUGAGUUGGAUUUGGAGCUUGGAUGUGGAGGUCUGCCGGCCCUUCUAUUUGACUGGGUUCAGCUCCUCUGAAAUGCAUUAGCGGAACCGUUUGCAAUCCGCCACAGGUGUGAUAAUUAUCUACGCCAGUGGGUUGCUCUCUGUGUCGUUCAGCUGCCAAUCGUCUCUGCUUCAAGAGACAAUUUUCUGAUUACUUGACCUCAAAUCAGGUAGGACUACCCGCUGAACUUAA